UACGUAGGGGGGCUAGCGUUGUCCGGAAUCAUUGGGCGUAAAGCGCGUGUAGGCGGUUCCGUAAGUCCGCUCUGAAAGCCCAGGGCUCAACCCUGGGAGGCGGGGGGGAUACUACGGAACUGGAGUACGGAAGAGGAGAUUGGAAUUCCUGGUGUAGCGGUGAAAUGCGCAGAUAUCAGGAAGAACACCAAUGGCGAAAGCAGCUUUCUGGGACGGUACUGACGCUGAGACGCGAAAGCGUGGGGAGCGAACAGG
rnacentral:rRNA from 1 species